rnacentral:rRNA from 1 species
AACGAACGCUGGCGGCAGGCUUAACACAUGCAAGUCGAACGCCCCGCAAGGGGAGUGGCAGACGGGUGAGUAACGCGUGGGAAUCUACCCAAUACUACGGAAUAGCUCCGGGAAACUGGAAUUAAUACCGUAUGUGCCCUACGGGGGAAAGAUUUAUCGGUAUUGGAUGAGCCCGCGUUGGAUUAGCUAGUUGGUGGGGUAAUGGCCUACCAAGGCGACGAUCCAUAGCUGGUCUGAGAGGAUGAUCAGCCACACUGGGACUGAGACACGGCCCAGACUCCUACGGGAGGCAGCAGUGGGGAAUAUUGGACAAUGGGCGAAAGCCUGAUCCAGCCAUGCCGCGUGAGUGAUGAAGGCCUUAGGGUUGUAAAGCUCUUUCAGUAGGGACGAUAAUGACGGUACCUACAGAAGAAGCCCCGGCUAACUUCGUG